rnacentral:rRNA from 1 species
CCUUGGAGAGGGAUAGCCACUGGAAACGGUGAUUAAUACCUCGUAUGCUGAGGAGUGAAAGACCGUAAGGUCGCCAAGGGAUGGGCUUGCGUCUGAUUAGCUAGUUGGGUGGGGUAAAGGCCUCCCAAGGCGAUGAUCAGUAGCUGGUCUGAGAGGACAAUCAGCCACACUGGGACUGAGACACGGCCCAGACUCCUACGGGAGGCAGCAGUGAGGAAUUUUCCGCAAUGGGCGAAAGCCUGACGGAGCAAUGCCGCGUGGAGGAGGAAGGCCUGUGGGUCGUAAACUCCUUUUCUCAGAGAAGAAGUUCUGACGGUAUCUGAGGAAUAAGCAUCGGCUAACUCUGUGCCAGCAGCCGCGGUAAUACAGGGGAUGCAAGCGUUAUCCGGAAUUAUUGGGCGUAAAGCGUCCUGAGGUGGCUUACCCAGUCGACUGUGAAAGCUCAAGGCUUAACCUUGAAACGGCAGUCGAAACUUGUAAGCUUGAGUACGGUAGGGGCAGAGGGAAUUCCCGGAGGAGAGGUGAAAUUCGUAGAUAUCGGGAGGAAGGCCAAAGGCGAAAGCACUCUGCUGGGCCGAUUACUGACACUGACAGACGAAAGCUAGGGGAGCG